rnacentral:rRNA from 1 species
GACGAACGCUGGCGGCGUGCCUAAUACAUGCAAGUUGAGCGCUGAAGGUUGGUACUUGUACCAACUGGCUGAGCAGCGAACGGGUGAGUAACGCGUGGGGAAUCUGCCUUUGAGCGGGGGACAACAUUUGGAAACGAAUGCUAAUACCGCAUAAAAACUUUAAACACAAGUUUUAAGAUUGAAAGAUGCAAUUGCAUCACUCAAAGAUGAUCCCGCGUUGUAUUAGCUAGUUGGUGAGGUAAAGGCUCACCAAGACGAUGAUACAUAGCCGACCUGCGCGGGUGAUGUGCCAAACUGGGACAUGGACACGGCCCAAACUCCUGCGGGAUGGUGCGGUAGGGCAUCGUGCGAUAUGGACGACAGUCUGAACGUUCAACGCCGUGGGGGUGAAGAAGGUUUUCGGAUCGUAAAAAUCUGUUGUUAGAGAAGAACGUUGGUGAGAGUGGAAAGCUCAUCAAGUGACGGUAACUACACAGAAAGAGACGGCUAACUACGUG